rnacentral:rRNA from 1 species
AUCCUCGGCGUCAGGGAUGAACGCUAGCUACAGGCUUAACACAUGCAAGUCGAGGGGCAGCAUGUAUCUGGCUUGCCAGAUACGAUGGCGACCGGCGCACGGGCGAGUAACGCGUAUCCGACCUGCCGCACACUCCGGGAUAGCCUUGCGAAAGCAAGUUUAAUACCGGAUGCCGUAAGGACGCCGCAUGGUGUUUUUACGAAAGGGGUUUACCGGUGUGCGAUGGGGAUGCGUCCCAUUAG